GAUCCUGGCUCAGAACGAACGCUGGCGGCAGGCUUAACACAUGCAAGUCGAACGCCCCGCAAGGGGAGUGGCAGACGGGUGAGUAACACGUGGGAACAUGCCCAAAGGUACGGAAUAUUCUCGGGAAACUGGGAGCAAUACCGUAUGUGCCCGAAAGGGGAAAGAUUUAUCGCCUUUGGAUUGGCCCGCGUUGGAUUAGCUAGUUGGUGGGGUAAAAGCCUACCAAGGCGACGAUCCAUAGCUGGUCUGAGAGGACGACCAGCCACACUGGGACUGAGACACGGCCCAGACUCCUACGGGAGGCAGCAGUGGGGAAUCUUGGACAAUGGGCGCAAGCCUGAUCCAGCCAUGCCGCGUGAGUGAUGAAGGCCUUAGGGUUGUAAAGUCCUUUCAGAUGGGAAGAUAAUGACGGUACCAUCAGAAGAAGCCCCGGCUAACUCCGUG
rnacentral:rRNA from 1 species